UUUCUUGGGCGGUCGAAUAUUUUGGACCCUGCUACUGUAUUUCAGUUCCUUUCCUGUCCCUGCUACUGUAUUUCAGUUCAGUUAUUUCCCCUUCAUCUACCUUUUCGGGAGAUUGGGAGUGCCGUCGGCAAUGGCGGAGCAGGUGGUGGCGGACCUCCGAGAGAAGUGCGCCACGCCGCCGUCGCUGCUGUGCGACGUGGCGGCGGCGAUGGCCGACGAGAUGUGCGCGGGACUGGGGAAGGAGGGUGGGAGCAGGGUCCAGAUGCUGCUCUCCUACGUUGACAAGCUCCCCACGGGGAGAGAGGAAGGUUUGUUCUAUGGACUGGACCUAGGAGGGACAAACUUCCGUGUCUUGAAGGUGCAGCUAGGUGGCAAUGAUAAGCAUGUCAUUAGCUGCGAGUCCAGAGAAGUCGCCAUCCCACCACAUUUGAUGUCAGGGAGCUCCUCUGAAUUGUUUGGUUUCAUUGCUUCUGAAUUAGCCAAGUUUGUGGCUGAUGAAGAGAAGGGUACUAGCUUGUCAAACGAGAAGACACGGAAACUAGGAUUCACAUUUUCUUUCCCAGUGAGGCAACGGUCUGUUGCAUCAGGGACCCUUGUCAAGUGGACAAAGGCAUUUUCUAUAGAAGAUGCUGUAGGUAAAGAUGUAGUUGCUGAACUGCAAACAGCUAUGCAGAAGCAAGGUCUAGACAUGCAUGUGGCUGCACUAAUUAAUGACGCUGUUGGGACAUUGGCUGGAGCCAGAUACUACGAUGAAGAUGUCGUCGCAGGUGUGAUAUUUGGCACUGGCACAAAUGCUGCUUAUGUUGAGAAGGCAAAUGCUAUACCAAAAUGGGAAGGAGAGCUGCCUAAUUCAGGAGAAAUGGUCAUUAAUAUGGAAUGGGGUAAUUUCUAUUCAUGCCAUCUUCCAGUCACUGAAUACGAUCAAGCAUUAGAUAGUGAAAGCUUAAAUCCAGGAGAGCAGAUCUACGAGAAGUUAACCUCAGGAAUGUAUUUAGGUGAAAUUGUAAGGAGGGUGUUGCUUAAACUGUCCUUGCAAUCUGGCAUUUUUGGUGAAAUUGACCACACUAAGCUCAAAACUCAUUUCCAUCUCCGGACUCCGCAUAUUUCUGCAAUGCACCAUGACGACACGCCCAAUCUGAAGAUAGUAGAAGAAAAACUGGAAGAAAUCCUAGAGAUUGCAAGCACGUCCUUAGAGACGCGGAAAAUGGUUGUUGAGAUCUGCGACAUUGUUGCAAGAAGGGCAGCCCGGCUGGCUGCUGCGGGCCUUGCAGGGAUCCUCAAGAAGCUUGGGAGAGAUGGCUGUGUCGACAAGCAUCGGUCGGUCAUCGCCAUCGAUGGAGGACUGUUCGAACACUAUGCCAAGUUCAGCAAAUGUUUGGAAGCUACUCUAUAUGAGCUGCUAGGGGAGCAGUCAUCGAAGUCGGUAGUCAUCAAGCACGCGGACGAUGGCUCGGGGAUAGGGGCUGCCCUGAUCGCUGCUUCCCAAUCUCAGUGCAGAAAUGUUGAAUAGCAGUAGGCAAGCUAGUUGCCAUACAUUUUAUGUCCCCAUUUCAGGGGUGAAAGAUAAACGGCACCUAAUUCUCCAGCAUGUACUUACAGUGUACCCGUGCUGGAACUGUAAGAGGUCCAUGACCGAAACGAGGCUAGAUGAGGUCACCUUGGACAGUUAAAAUAAAAGGGAACCUGAGGUCUCAUGAAUCGGCAACCAUCUUUUUGAGUAACAAGCUUCUUUGAAUGUCAAAUUCCUACGCUCCAAACUGCCCUGUUGCACUAUUGCUCAUCAACAAGGUUAAUUCGUGAACCUUGGAGGUUAAAAAGCUCAUCAAACUGGCAUACUACUAUGUACAAAAAGGCCAAAAGUUGUGGUGAUAAAGAAGAGGACAGCGACCCAAUCAGACAAGUUUGAGACAAGUGCAGGUGGAAGGCUGAAGUUGUGGCGAUCAGGAUAACGACUUCAGCAGUGAAGGAAUCUCUAUCCCGCACUAAAUUCAGCACGUACAAUAAUGGAGAAACACAGGACAGAUCACAUCAUUUGCUCAAGUAAAAGCUUCCCCAGAAACAUACAGAUGGCUACCACAUUCGGCUCUCAAACCGCCGCAGCCGCCGCUGUGUAGAGCCCGAAAUAAUCACUCUUCCACUGACCCGGCCUUGGGUUUCAAAGGAGUUGUCUUUGUGGAAAGCAAUAAAUCAAACGAUCCACAUCGAUUGUUCAUGGCCCAAUUCAGUGAUACCUGUAGACAAUCUGCUGGAGAGCGUUUUUCGCCUCACUGUCUGUAUCUCAUAUAGACAGCCGUUUGGACGAGCUGCCCGAGAUGCUCUUGUAAUUAGUAAGGGAUAUGCGCAGCAAUAGUCAGCGUCAUUGUUACGCCGGGCAUGCUCCAUAAAGGUUUGCAGUUGCCAACGAUCCAGACAAAACUAUUGACAGGAUCUUUAUAAAGGUACUGCUGCUGCUGCUGCUGCUGCUCUUUGAAUUGCAUCAUUUCCUAUGCAGAGCAUGACCAUU